UGGGGAAUAUUGGACAAUGGGCGCAAGCCUGAUCCAGCCAUGCCGCGUGAGUGAUGAGGGCCCUAGGGUUGUAAAGCUCUUUCGCCAGGGACGCGGUACCUGGAUAAGAAGCCCCGGCUAACUUCGUGCCAGCAGCCGCGGUAAUACGAAGGGGGCUAGCGUUGUUCGGAUUUACUGGGCGUAAAGCGCACGUAGGCGGAUCUUUAAGUCAGAGGUGAAAUCCCAAGGCUCAACCUUGGAACUGCCUUUGAUACUGGGGAUCUCGAGUCCGGGAGAGGUGAGUGGAACUGCGAGUGUAGAGGUGAAAUUCGUAGAUAUUCGCAAGAACACCAGUGGCGAAGGCGGCUCACUGGCCCGGAACUGACGCUGAGGUGCGAAAGCGUGGGGAGCAAACAGGAUUAGAUACCCCAGUAGU
rnacentral:rRNA from 1 species